rnacentral:rRNA from 1 species
AACUGAGACNAGGUCCCAGGCCNUACGGNGCGCAGCANGCGCGNNACCUCCGCAAUGCGCGAUAGCGUGACGGGGUUACCCCGAGUGCUGUCCGUUGAGGAUAGCUUUUCCCCAGUGUAAGGAACUGGGGGAAUAAAGGGGGGGCAAGUCUGGUGUCAGCCGCCGCGGUAAUACCAGCCCCCUGAGUGAUAGGGACGACUAUUUAGCCUAAAGCGUCCGUAGCCGGCUUAGCAAGUCUUUCGUUAAAUCUGACGACUUAAUCGCCAGGCCGCGGAAGAUACUGCCAGGCUAGAGGGCGGGAGAGGUUGACGGUAGUCCCGGGGUAGGGGUGAAAUCCUAUAAUCCUGGGAGGACCACCAGUGGCGAAGGCGGUCAACUAGAACGCGCCUGACGGUGAGGGACGAAAGCUGGGGGAGCGAACCGGAUUAGACACCCGGGUAGUCCCAGCUGUAAACGAUGCGGGCUAGGUGUUGGAGCAGCUACGAGCUGCUCCAGUGCCGCAGAGAAGUUGUUAAGCCCGCCGCUUGGGAAGUACGGCCGCGAGGCUGAAACUUAAAGGAAUUGGCGGGGGAGCAC